GUAAAAUAAUCAAUUUAGCAAUACUCAUAAAAUUUAAAUAAUUAAUUAAUAAAAAUAAAAGAUAAAAUAAUUAAAUUAAUAGCAAGUAAUUAACUUAUUAAUAAAACCAAGCACAGAGAAGGAGAAGGAAAGAAAAAAAAAAAAAACAUAAAUACCUGUAAUUGGACUGGAAGACAAGGAGGAGUGGAGAUGGAGGCAUGGAGCACUGUACAGCAGCCCAGGUGACUCCUCUUCUUCUUAUGAUGCCUUGCUGGGUCCCUGUGAAUCUCUUCUUCUUCUUCUUCCCUUGACUUUCUUGGGGUUCGCGCAAAUUUCUUUUUCUUUUUUCUU
rnacentral:misc_RNA from 1 species